GUGAAGGUAAUCAUUUGUCACUGGCCUAUACCACUAGCAAACUAGGACAUCCCUAUGGCUGCUCAAAGAGCUAGCCAGCAAGUUGUUGGCUAGUGCUAAGAAUCUGUCCAUUACCCACUCCUUCUCUACCAACUCACUUCAGAACAGGAGUACAUGGCAGUGCAGUGCCCUCUGACAUCUAUUCACCUGGACCCAAGAUCCACAUAGCCCACAUUAGGAUGUAAAAAGGAUUCUUACUGUCCAUCAGUCCUUGCAUAGUCCAGGAGAAAUGCACUGCCAUCUGUUGGAGAAAGAUAGCAAAUUCAGGAAACUCUGCAGGAUUAUUGCUGCUUUGCAUCAGGUAGAACAAAAAGAAGAUUUGGUAAUUCCAACACUGGGCAUCAAGAGGGAGGACGAGGAUGGAAGAUUUUUCAAUUUGAAAAUAGUCCCUGUGACAGAAGUAAUGACUUCAUGAAAAACUCAAUCUAGAUGGAGCUGAGCGGACCCAUUUGUUUCUCGUAAGUGGAGCAGACAGAAAACUUGAAAAUGUCACAGGAGGAUCCUGUGAUUGCUCUCACUUUACAGGAGUAAUUAAAAACCAAGAGGUUGUAUUAAAGGUGAAGAGAAGAGGUU